rnacentral:lncRNA from 1 species
UGGAUGAAAUGAGAUCAAGCAUGGAACUGUUUAGGAAGAAAAUUAACACAUCCUUGGACUCCUGAAGGAAGAGCCUUCCCAAUGGGACCACUUUCAAGCCAUUUUUCUAGAAAUGCAGUUCCCAGCUGAUAAAAACAGGCCUCCCUGUGUGAAAGGAUGGGAUGCAAACCCCUGGGAGACUGACUUCCACAUCCUUGCUGCUUUCAGUAGUGGACCAGACAGGCUCAACAAGCUGUUUUGUGACAAGAAACACUCUCCUGUAUUACUUUGUGAUAUGGAAACGUUGGUGACAGCAGUGGAAGAGAGCUGGGGGGAAAAGAAGGGGCUGUGGGAUUAGAUUGUGCGAACUAAUAAACCUUCAUGCUGAAAUGGGCA